UCUGGAUCUAGAGAUUAUCAUGAGGUCUGGCAAAAAGAGUUCUAAAUGUAAAUACUUAGUGCAAGUCAUACUUAUUUUUGCUGAAAAACUUUGUGGUUUGAUGUGAGUGUCUCUGAGUUCACGAUACCUUGCUUAUGCAAUGAAAUAAUAAUGCCAAGGAGCCUCAUUUGCAAAAUCUUGAAGGUAGUAAACCCAAUACAAUACGUUUUUGAAUUUCUUUUUUUAAAUUAGUUAAUUAAUAUUUCUUGUUUGUGAGAAACUCAGGGCUGAAGAAGACAGUGUUAUUCCCUCUAAGUGCCUACACUCUAUGCUUUGGGCUGCUUAUCCUAUCACAGCAAUUUGUCUUGAGGGAUCAGUGCUUUCCACAGUUCCAACAAGACCCUACAGUCUAAGAAAAAUAUUAAUAGUGACAUCACAGGUCUCUCAUUCUUUUUUAAGUGUUUCUGUAAAAUGAAAAUGAUAAAAAGCACUAGUUGAUGAGUCUGUGUCAAGGACAAAAUGGUAAUUAUUGCCAUUUAUUCUGCAGACCCAGGAGUGCCUCUUCUAAUCCUGGUGUGAAGGAGAAACCAAGAGUGGAAAUGCACAGGAUAAAGUUCCUCACUCCUCCUAGUGCUCCUGACUUUUCAGGCAUGUCUGCCCUCUUGUGGCCAUGAUCCAGAGUCGCUUUAUGGAAGGUGUGACCAGAGAAGACCCAAGGAGCAAGUCUGGGUGGAUUUGCUGUUUUAACUGGGGACUCAUGCUUGCCCAGCAGAACUUUUGGAUGAGGCACCUUAUGUGCCUCUGAGGACAGGGACUCUCUUGUUUUCUAGGCAUAUGCCCGGUGGUGUGAGAAUCGUUUGGAGGAACUCUUAAAGCUAGAUCUUCCCCCGUCUUGGCAUGGACCUACAGUAUCAGGAUCUUUAUGAAAGGGGCCUCCUUCUCCAGGUGAUUCUGAUGCAGAUCCAAGUUGGGAACUUCGGAGACUCAAACCCUACAAGAUGAGGGCACCACAAUCUCUUAGGGGCAGAAGCUGAUGGCAGCAUUUCCCAGAGAUCUGUGAAGAUACCAUACCUCUCCUGCUCUAGACUCAGAUGCUGAAACAGACGGUGGUAGACGGUGGGAUGAAGUGCAGAUACGCUUGUGGUCGUGAAAUAUGUUUUUGUUACUAUUGCUUUGGAAAGUUGCUGAUAUCAAUAUGCAUCAUUGGCCCAGGGAUAUCACAGCUAAAUUAAUUCCUGAGGAGUUUUAGCACAGUUGUCCCUCAGAACAUUAAUGUUCCGAUUCAGACGCUCUUUCUAAUUACAGCUAUCAUGUCCUUUCACUUGUAAGUACUAUUUAAUCCACCAUUACAUCCCGGACCACUGGCUCCUUGUCAGCGGGCACCUCCCCUUCUGUCUCAUUGUUAGUGGACGUCCCUCUUUAUAACUCACUUCUGCCGGGGCUUUCUGCUUUUGGGUACAAGACUCCACUAAUACAAAGCCAGUCACGGUCCCCUUUUCCUUUUGGCUUAGCAAAUCAAUCGACUGUAUUGGAUUAGUAAAACCUUCAGGUAUUUCACUCAAAAAUGCAGUAUGUUGGCUGCUGUUGCCUUUUUUGCUGAAGAAAAAAUUAAAAUAAAAAAACACAUCA